rnacentral:rRNA from 1 species
GAACGGGGUUCUUCGGAACCUAGUGGCGGACGGGUGAGUAACGCGUGAGAAUCUGCCUUUUGGACGGGGACAACCACUGGAAACGGUGGCUAAAACCGGAUAUGCCCUUGGGUGAAAGUAUUAAUAGCCAAAAGAGGAGCUCGCGACCGAUUAGUUAGUUGGCGGGGUAAGAGCUCACCAAGACCGCGAUCGGUAGCCGAUUUGAGAGGACGAUCGGCCACACUGGGACUGAGACACGGCCCAGACUCCUACGGGAGGCAGCAGUGGGGAAUUUUCCGCAAUGGGCGAAAGCCUGACGGAGCAAUACCGCGUGAGGGAGGAAGGCUCUUGGGUCGUAAACCUCUUUUCUCAAGGAAGAAGACCUGACGGUACUUGAGGAAUCAGCAUCGGCUAACUCCGUGCCAGCAGCCGCGGUAAUACGGAGGAUGCAAGCGUUAUCCGGAAUGAUUGGGCGUAAAGCGUCCGCAGGUGGCAUCUCAAGUCUGCUGUCAAAGCCCCCAGCUUAACUGGGAAGAGGCAGUGGAAACUGAGAAGCUAGAGAGCAAUAGGGGUAGAGGGAAUUCCCGGUGUAGCGGUGAAAUGCGUAGAGAUCGGGAAGAACACCAGUGGCGAAAGCGCUCUACUAGGUUGCAUCUGACACUGAGGGACGAAAGCUAGGGGAGCGAGUGGGAUUAGAUACCCCAGUAGUCCUAGCCGUAAAC